GUGAGACAGUUCGGUCUCUAUCUAUCGUGGGCGUUGGAAAUUUGCGUGGAUCUGACAUUAGUACGAGAGGACCGUGUUGGACAGACCUCCGGUUUACCAGUUGUGCCGCCAGGUGCAUUGCUGGGUAUCCGCGUCUGGAUCGGAUAAGCGCUGAAUGCAUCUAAGUGCGAAGCCGGCCGCAAGAUUAGAUUUCCUUUGAGGGUCGUUGUAGACUACGACGUUGAUAGGCUGCAGGUGUAAAGGUGGUGACAUCAAAGCCGAGCAGUACUAAUUGCCCGAACUUUUCCUUGUG
rnacentral:rRNA from 1 species